GCAAGUAUAGUUUAACCAAAACGUUAGCCUGUGAUCCUAAAGACAGAAGUUAAAUUCUUCUUACCUGCCGAGGGGAGGU
rnacentral:tRNA from 4 species